CAGUAGCCGCGGUAAUACGGAGGGUGCAAGCGUUAAUCGGAAUUACUGGGCGUAAAGCGCACGCAGGCGGUCUGACAAGUCAGAUGUGAAAUCCCCGGGCUUAACCUGGGAACUGCAUUUGAAACUGUCAGGCUGGAGUCUUGUAGAGGGGGGUGGAAUUCCAGGUGUAGCGGUGAAAUGCGUAGAGAUCUGGAGGAAUACCGGUGGCGAAGGUGGCCCCCUGGACAAAGACUGACGCUCAGGUGCGAAAGCGUGGGGAGCAAACAGGAUUAGAUACCCGUGUAGUCCCUGUCUCUUAUAC
rnacentral:rRNA from 1 species